UUGACCUCGGAUCAGGUAGGGAUACCCGCUGAACUUAAGCAUAUCAAUAAGCGGAGGAAAAGAAACCAACAGGGAUUGCCUCAGUAACGGCGAGUGAAGCGGCAACAGCUCAAAUUUGAAAGCUGGCCCCCCCGGGGGUCCGCGUUGUAAUUUGUAGAGGAUGAUUCGGCGAGGGCUCCCGCCUAAGUCCCCUGGAACGGGGCGUCAUAGAGGGUGAGAAUCCCGUAUGCGGUGGGCUGCCUUAGCCACGUGAAUCUCCUUCGACGAGUCGAGUUGUUUGGGAAUGCAGCUCUAAAUGGGAGGUAAAUUUCUUCUAAAGCUAAAUACCGGCCAGAGACCGAUAGCGCACAAGUAGAGUGAUCGAAAGAUGAAAA
rnacentral:rRNA from 1 species